UGUCCUUUGCUCACGGAUGGUUCCCCGAGAGGGGAUGAAAAGGGAACGCAGUGAAAUGCUGUGGCUGCCCCCGCAACUGUAAGUGGUGAGACGUGUCACAUAGAGGCUUUUAUGCCCGACCACUGAAGCACCUGCUUUGGGAAGGUUCGUGACCUGUCAUUGAUCCGCGAGCCAGGAGACCUGCCAUCGAAAAUGGUUACAG
rnacentral:ncRNA from 2 species